rnacentral:rRNA from 1 species
AUUGAACGCUGGCGGCAGGCUUAACACAUGCAAGUCGAGCGGAGAUGAGGUGCUUGCACCUUAUCUUAGCGGCGGACGGGUGAGUAAUGCUUAGGAAUCUGCCUGGUAGUGGGGGACAACGUUUCGAAAGGAACGCUAAUACCGCAUACGUCCUACGGGAGAAAGCAGGGGACCUUCGGGCCUUGCGCUAUCAGAUGAGCCUAGGUCGGAUUAGCUAGUUGGUGAGGUAAUGGCUCACCAAGGCGACGAUCCGUAACUGGUCUGAGAGGAUGAUCAGUCACACUGGAACUGAGACACGGUCCAGACUCCUACGGGAGGCAGCAGUGGGGAAUAUUGGACAAUGGGCGAAAGCCUGAUCCAGCCAUGCCGCGUGUGUGAAGAAGGUCUUCGGAUUGUAAAGCACUUUAAGUUGGGAGGAAGGGCAGUAAGUUAAUACCUUGCUGUUUUGACGUUACCGACAGAAUAAGCACCGGCUAACUCUGUGCCAGCCGCCGCAGUAAUAC